AACUACAGGUAACAAACUACAGGUAACAGAGUACAGGUAACAGAGUACAGGUAACAAACUACAGGUAACAGAGUACAGGUAACAGAGUACAGGUAACAAACUACAGGUUAGAGAGUACAGGUAACAGAGUACAGGUAACAAACUACAGGUAAUAAACUACAGGUAACAGAGUACAGGUAACAGAGUACAGGUAACAAACUACAGGUAACAGAGUACAGGUAACAAACUACAGGUAACAGAGUACAGGUAACAGAGUACAGGUAACAAACUACAGGUAACAGAGUACAGGUAACAAACUACAGGUAACAAACUACAGGUAACAGAGUACAGGUAACAGAGUACAGGUAACAAACUACAUGUAACAAACUACAGGUAACAGAGUACAGGUAACAAACUACAGGUAACAGAGUACAGGUAACAGAGUACAGAUAACAAACUACAGGUAACAAACUACAGGUAACAGAGUACAGGUAACAAACUACAGGUAACAGAGUACAGGUAACAAACUACAGGUAACAGAGUACAGGUAACAGAGUACAGGUAACAGAGUACAGGUAACAAACUACAGGUAACAAACUACAGGUAACAGAGUACAGGUAACAGAGUACAGGUAACAGAGUACAGGUAACAAACUACAGGUAACAGAGUACAGGUAACAAACUACAGGUAACAGAGUACAGGUAACAAACUACAGGUAACAGAGUACAGGUAACAAACUACAGGUAACAGAGUACAGGUAACAGAGUACAGAUAACAAACUACAGGUAACAAACUACAGGUAACAAACUACAGGUAACAGAGUACAGGUAACAAACUACAGGUAACAGAGUACAGGUAACAAACUACAGGUAACAGAGUACAGGUAACAAACUACAGGUAACAGAGUACAGGUAACAGAGUACAGGUAACAGAGUACAGGUAACAAACUACAGGUAACAGAGUACAGGUAACAGAGUACAGGUAACAGAGUACAGGUAACAAACUACAGGUAACAGAGUACAGGUAACAAACUACAGGUAACAGAGUACAGGUAACAAACUACAGGUAACAGAGUACAGGUAACAGACUACAGGUAACAGAGUACAGAUAACAAACUACAGGUAACAAACUACAGGUAACAAACUACAGGUAACAGAGUACAGAUAACAAACUACAGGUAACAAACUACAGGUAACAAACUACAGGUAACAGAGUACAGAUAACAAACUACAGGUAACAAACUACAGGUAACAGAGUACAGGUAACAAACUACAGGUAACAGAGUACAGGUAACAAGUGUGUGUGUGUGUGUGUGUGUGUGUGUGUGUGUGUGUGUGUGUGUGUGUGUGUGUGUGUGUGUGUGUGUGUGUGUGUGUGUGUGUGUGUGUGUGUGUGUG